rnacentral:pre_miRNA from 1 species
AAAGUACUCCCUCCGUCCCAAAAUUCUUGUCUUAGAUUUUUCUAGAUACGGAUGUAUCAAGUCACAUUUUAGUAUUAGAUACAUCCAUAUCUAGACAAAUCUAAGAC